AAAUUGAAGAGUUUGAUCAUGGCUCAGAUUGAACGCUUGCGGCAGGCCUAACACAUGCAAGUCGAGCGGUAGCACAGAGAGCUUGCUCUCGGGUGACGAGCGGCGGACGGGUGAGUAAUGUCUGGGAAACUGCCUGAUGGAGGGGGAUAACUACUGGAAACGGUAGCUAAUACCGCAUAAUGUCGCAAGACCAAAGUGGGGGACCUUCGGGCCUCAUGCCAUCAGAUGUGCCCAGAUGGGAUUAGCUAGUAGGUGGGGUAACGGCUCACCUAGGCGACGAUCCCUAGCUGGUCUGAGAGGAUGACCAGCCACACUGGAACUGAGACACGGUCCAGACUCCUACGGGAGGCAGCAGUGGGGAAUAUUGCACAAUGGGCGCAAGCCUGAUGCAGCCAUGCCGCGUGUGUGAAGAAGGCCUUCGGGUUGUAAAGCACUUUCAGCGGGGAGGAAGGCGUUAAGGUUAAUAACCUUGGCGAUUGACGUUACCCGCAGAAGAAGCACCGGCUAACUCCGUGCCAGCAGCCGCGGUAAUACGGAGGGUGCAAGCGUUAAUCGGAAUUACUGGGCGUAAAGCGCACGCAGGCGGUCUGUCAAGUCGGAUGUGAAAUCCCCGGGCUCAACCUGGGAACUGCAUUCGAAACUGGCAGGCUAGAGUCUUGUAGAGGGGGGUAGAAUUCCAGGUGUAGCGGUGAAAUGCGUAGAGAUCUGGAGGAAUACCGGUGGCGAAGGCGGCCCCCUGGACAAAGACUGACGCUCAGGUGCGAAAGCGUGGGGAGCAAACAGGAUUAGAUACCCUGGUAGUCCACGCCGUAAACGAUGUCGAUUUGGAGGUUGUGCCCUUGAGGCGUGGCUUCCGGAGCUAACGCGUUAAAUCGACCGCCUGGGGAGUACGGCCGCAAGGUUAAAACUCAAAUGAAUUGACGGGGGCCCGCACAAGCGGUGGAGCAUGUGGUUUAAUUCGAUGCAACGCGAAGAACCUUACCUGGUCUUGACAUCCACAGAACUUUCCAGAGAUGGAUUGGUGCCUUCGGGAACUGUGAGACAGGUGCUGCAUGGCUGUCGUCAGCUCGUGUUGUGAAAUGUUGGGUUAAGUCCCGCAACGAGCGCAACCCUUAUCCUUUGUUGCCAGCGGUCCGGCCGGGAACUCAAAGGAGACUGCCAGUGAUAAACUGGAGGAAGGUGGGGAUGACGUCAAGUCAUCAUGGCCCUUACGACCAGGGCUACACACGUGCUACAAUGGCAUAUACAAAGAGAAGCGACCUCGCGAGAGCAAGCGGACCUCAUAAAGUAUGUCGUAGUCCGGAUUGGAGUCUGCAACUCGACUCCAUGAAGUCGGAAUCGCUAGUAAUCGUAGAUCAGAAUGCUACGGUGAAUACGUUCCCGGGCCUUGUACACACCGCCCGUCACACCAUGGGAGUGGGUUGCAAAAGAAGUAGGUAGCUUAACCUUCGGGAGGGCGCUUACCACUUUGUGAUUCAUGACUGGGGUGAAGUCGUAACAAGGUAACCGUAGGGGAACCUGCGGUUGGAUCACCUCCUUA
rnacentral:rRNA from 1 species